GCUGUCGUGAAAGGGAAACACAUCUGGCGCGCUUGUGGAGCGCUUUUUUCUCGAAAGAUGCGGUGCGUGUGUUCAGUGUUCGUCUGUGGUAACUGUGUUCCACGAAAAGGAUGGCUGUUUCCUGCAAAGUUUCGCAGAAACGGUCCUUACACAGUGCAUCGAGAUGCAGGCCUGGGAUGAAUUUGCGGAGAGGAUGUAACUGUGAGCCAUAAUGGACCUUGAAGUAGAUGUCAGGUUGCGACAACGGUCGGUGAUGGAGUUCCUCUUCAAGACCGGCGAUGACUCUGCCACAUAGAUUCACAGGAAGUUGCUCCUUGUUUAUGGGGGAGCACACAGGGGAUCGCAGCAGUAUCCAGUGAUGAUUGCAAGACUUUCACGAAGA